UACGGGGGGGGGCAAGCGUUGUUCGGAAUUACUGGGCGUGAAGGGCUCGUAGGCGGCCAACUAAGUCCGACGUGAAAUCCCCAGGCUUAACCUGGGAACUGCGUCGGAUACUGGAUGGCUUGAAUCCGGGAGAGGGAUGCGGAAUUCCAGGUGUAGCGGUGAAAUGCGUAGAUAUCUGGAGGAACACCGGUGGCGAAGGCGGCAUCCUGGACCGGCAUUGACGCUGAGGAGCGAAAGCCAGGGGGAGCAAAACGGGG
rnacentral:rRNA from 1 species